rnacentral:misc_RNA from 1 species
CUGUUUGCAAUCAGCAUAGCGGCCGGAUGGUGGGUUGAAGGAGAAGUGGACCUGUUCAUAGCGAAAGCAAAAGUUGGUUUUCUUUUUAAAGGCAGGAGAAAGAGGCAUAUUGCAGAGGAACAAGUCUUUAACGUAGUGAUGUUCAUGGUAAACGAAAAAACCGGAAGUAGAUUUAGACUCAACCCAUGUGACUAUGCGCUAUAUGACCAAGACGACGACUUCACGGUCACGCCGAAAGAUUUUGAUAUAAUAUUCUCUAAAAUGGAUAAAUCAAAACAUAUUUUGGUGGAACAGCUUUUCCGUGAAUUGGAUAUGGAUAAUGAUCAGAAAAUUUCCCUAACGGAAUUUGAGGAAAAAGAAGGUCUUGUUUUCUCCAAAAAGACGUGCCUUAUUGACGUGUUAUAAUCAUGACUUUUUUCUCUGUUUUUUUUUUCUUUUUUGUCAAAAAAAGUAUAAUGAUUAUUAUUUGUUCUAAAACGAAUUAUUGUAUUCUAAAAAACCCGUGUAUCUUAUUAUCAAUUAUUAUCAUUCAUAUAUUUGUUUCAUCUGGAAUAUCGAUAUAUGUCCGUGAAAUACAUGCCUUUUUGUCAUUUUUGUACUCAAUCCUUUAUUCAAAUAUCGUUGAAAGUAAACAUUGUUUAUGAUUAAAAAAAUAUCAUAAGG